GAGAGUUUGAUCCUGGCUCAGAAUCAACGCUGGCGGCGUGCCUAACACAUGCAAGUCGAACGAGAAAGGGGAGCAAUCCCUGAGUACAGUGGCGACCGGGUGAGUAACACGUGACUACCUACCCUUGAGUGGGGGAUAACCUCGGGAAACCGAGGCUAAUACCGCAUAAUAUCGAGAGAUCAAAGGAGCAAUCCGCUCUUGGAGGGGGUCGCGGCUGAUUAGCUAGUUGGUGAGGUAAUGGCUCACCAAGGCGAAGAUCGGUAUCCGGCCUGAGAGGGCGCACGGACACACUGGAACUGAAACACGGUCCAGACUCCUACGGGAGGCAGCAGUGGGGAAUUUUGCGCAAUGGGGGAAACCCUGACGCAGCAACGCCGCGUGGAGGAUGAAGCUCCUUGGAGUGUAAACUCCUUUCGACCGGGACGAUAAUGACGGUACCGGUGGAAGAAGCACCGGCUAACUCUGUGCCAGCAGCCGCGGUAAUACA
rnacentral:rRNA from 1 species